rnacentral:sRNA from 1 species
UAUAACGAUAUUUUUGGUUAUCAGUGUUUUAUGCUGACUUUCGUUCGGAGGAGUAUUACUACUUUAGAGGGAGGGGUUAUUGCUUCGUAUCAAAUCAGAGGCAUAAAAAAAGCGCCCUGAGGCGCUUUUUUGU